GGGGAUGUGGCGGAAUUGGUAUACGCGCACGGUUGAGGGCCGUGUGGGGCAACCCUUGAGAGUUCGAGUCUCUCCAUCCCCACCA
rnacentral:tRNA from 1 species